rnacentral:tRNA from 1 species
GGUGGUGUAGCCCAAUUGGUAGGGUACUUGCCUACCAUGCAUCAAGCCCUGGGUUCAAUCCUCAGUACUAUGU